UGGGGAAUAUUGGACAAUGGGCGAAAGCCUGACCCAGCAACGCCGCGUGAAGGAUGAAGUAUUUCGGUAUGUAAACUUCGAAAGAAUAGGAAGAAUAAAUGACGGUACUAUUUAUAAGGUCCGGCUAACUACGUGCCAGCAGCCGCGGUAAUACGUAGGGACCAAGCGUUGUUCGGAUUUACUGGGCGUAAAGGGCGCGUAGGCGGCAAUUCAAGUCAUCUGUGAAAUCUCCGGGCUUAACUCGGAACGGUCAGAUGAUACUGCUUUGCUAGAGUGCAGAAGGGGCAAUCGGAAUUCUUGGUGUAGCGGUGAAAUGCGUAGAUAUCAAGAGGAACACCUGAGGUGAAGACGGGUUGCUGGGCUGACACUGACGCUGAGGCGCGAAAGCCAGGGGAGCAAACGGGAUUAGAUACCCCGGUAGUCCCUGAGCGGGCUGGCAAGGCGCAU
rnacentral:rRNA from 1 species